rnacentral:misc_RNA from 1 species
GUGACUGUGCGUUCCCGCCGCUCCGGGCCGGUCGGCUGAUCCGCCGGUCAGAGGUCGGCGGCGGCGCGCGCUCUGCCGGCAGACAGGUCGCGGUGUCGAGCGUGCCGGGAGGGAGGUCCCGGUCGGACUGAAGGGAGGCGGCUGAAUCAGCGGUCCGUGACCUCUGUCGCCCUCGGUGUGACCCGUGCGGCGCCAUGUGGGGUCGGUCCCGGCCGGGCGCCUGGUACCGCUGGUACCACCUGGCGCUCAUGACGGCCACCUACAUCACCGGCGAGCUCUCCCACUUCUUGGUCGGCAUCGUCAGCCGCCAGAUGGCGCAGGAGCUCCACUACGGCGACAUCGGCUGCGUGGAGCGCGAGAACGCGACAGACGCUGGCGCCGACUGCUACACCUUUACCGACAAUACCAGCUGCACGGCAGUGGACGCCUGCGAGUGGACCUACACGGGUCUGGGCAUCCAGUACCAGGUGCUGGCCGGGCCGGCCUUCAUAGGAGCCUUCACUCUCGCCGGCCUGGUGUUCGGCAGUCUGGCUGAUUCGUACAACAGACAGCGUCUGCUGACGUUCAGCACCGCCCUGCUGACCGUCUCCACCUUCCUGAUGGGGUUCGCCGCCGAGUACUGGCACCUGGUGCUCUUCAGAAUGUGCACCGCAGCCGGGGAGGCGGGUUUCGCGCCACUAAGCUCCGGCAUGAUAUCGGACCAGUUUCCGCCGCAGCUGCGCGGCAUGGCUAUGUCCAUCUUCACCUGGGGCAUCUACUUCGGCUACGGCAUCUCCUACGCCAUCGGCAACUACGUCUCGGCGGCCGACAUCAUGGGACAGAGCUGGCGAUGGGCGUAUUACGUGGCGGCCAUUCCCGGAGCCGUCCUGUGCUGCCUCCACCUGACGGCGCACGACCCGCGGACCAGACAGGCGGUGCUCAGCGACGGAGAACACGACCUCUACCGGAUAAAGACCUCGGAGUCAGAGGCGGCACCGGUCGCCGCCGCGGAGGCCGCCGAGGGCGCUGGGUCGCGCGCCGGCUGGUGGAGCCGGUUCGUGGUGGACAAGCUGCGGGUGUUCCUGCAGCCGAGCAUCCUGCUGUUGCUGCUCGGCGCCUCAAUGCGACACACCGCCGGGUUCUGCUGGUCGACAAACACUCAGCUGUACUUCCAGACCUACUACCCGACGGCCGACCUGGGUCUGUGGCUCUCCUGGGUCAGCAUCGUCGGCGGCUCCAUCGGUGUCACCGUAGGCGGUGUGGUCAGUGACCGGCUGGUGAAGCGGAUCGGACUCCGGGCCAGGAUCUGGGUACUCUCGGCCAGUCAGCUGGUGGCCACGCCGUUCGCGGUGGGCGUGCUGUACUUUCCGCCGCAGUGGUGCUUCGUCAGCCUCCUCACUGCCUAUCUGUUCGCCGAGAUGUGGUUCGGAGUGGUACUCGCCAUCGUCGUCGAGCUGGUCGAGCCCGACGUCAAGUCCUCCACGGUCGCCAUCUUCCUCUUCAUCAUCAACAACGUGGGCGGCAACAUGCCGCUGGCGGUGGACGGGCUCAGCGACGUCAUCGGCUACCGGGACGCCCUCUACGUGCUCUACCCGGGCAUGUACUUCGCCAGUUCGGUGGUGUUUCUUCUGACGGCGUUCGCGCUCCGCCGGGACGGCCAGCCGCCCGCCGCCGCUCAGGAGCUGGCAGAAUCAUAACCGACUCUCAGGUGCCGUCCUUUUGAAUCAAUUAAGGCUUUACUCGCAGAGUUUCUGCUCAGCUCUCAGCCUGAGUUCACAGUGUGUCUGAGCUCUCAAACUACAAACCCCAACUCCCGGAUAGCUCAGGAAACUGAGAGCCCUCUGAGAGCUCAGACGUCAGCUGUUAGUCGUUACUGUAAAUGCUCACACUCAGUUCGCCAGUUAUCGUGAUCUGCUCAUUUCGCCCAGUUCGCAAUACUGAGUUCUUUAGUGAGCUGCUGGCGACUGGUUGCACUUUGGCCUGAGUUUCGAGUGCUGAACAGGACUUACAUGCUCUCUUACAUGGAAGCAGAAGCCAGAAGUCGUCCCUGCCACGAGCGAUGGAUCGUAUUACAUGCGUAGCUGAUUAUAUAUGGAAACUGUGUCGUAGGGACGAUUUUGUAUUUGUUCAUGUUGUCACAGAUAUGGACUGGUCGUUUGGGCCGACGCCUGCUGUUUCCAAUAUAUAGGUAGGCAUUUUAGAUAUUUUGUGUUGUUACUCGUCAAUAUAUUCAAAUAGUAUGGUGCAAAAUAUUAUCCUUGGUGAGGAAUGUCAGCAAGUAAGCACAGUAAAAUGCCUUGUAUUUUAAACUUGCUAUUCUGAUAAAGAGCUGUGCUCGAAUUUAUCAAUAAACAAGUGUUUUUGCUUUAA